UCCCUGGUGGUCCAGUGGUUAGGACUCCACGCUUUCUCUGUGGAGGGCCCAGGUUCAAUCCCUGGUUGGGGAA
rfam:TPA: Bos taurus chromosome 13, whole genome shotgun sequence.